UUUUUUUCUCCAUUAAUUGAUUUAAUUACUAUAGUUAUUAGUAAAUAAACAGUAAUUUAAUUCUACAGUAUUUCACACAGAUUAUCAGUUUAAAAAUGUCUAAUCCAAUUCUUAAGACUAAUGAGAUAAGUAAUAAAUCUAAUAAUUCUGUUUUAAAGAAUGUAAAUGAAAACUUUAAAUUCAUGGGAGUACAAGUACAAAUUUUAGAUAUUCCAUCAUUAAUAAACAUUGAUCCUCAGACAAGUGUUCCAAUUGUAGCAUCAAUUUUAAAUCUAAAAGAUAUAGAAGAAAAUCAAAUUAAUUUUUGGUUAGCAGAUCAAAUAACCUUGAUUAUUCAGAACAUACAGCAAUUGAAUAUGACCUCAUUACAAGGCAACUUAGUGUUAUGCUGGAUUUUAUACUUUUUUUCUAUCAUUAUAGGCAAGUAUAAAAGUCAUCAAAUAUUUAAUGUUAACUAUUUUCCAUUUAGAGCAAAAAUAUAAUAAAGAAAAACUAUUUGAAUAUAUGCAUAAUUGUAUGAGUAAUGCAAUGAUGAAAGCAAAUGAACAUAUGAUACCAUUUCCAAAUCAAACAGAGAGUAUUAAUUUAAAAAAUUCAAUAGAUAAAUUAAGUAGUUUCAACACUGGAAAAUCAUUCAAUUUAUCAACUCCUGAAAAACUUAUAAAAUUUAUUAUUGAUACAACAUAUGACAUAUUUUAUGACAAUUUCAAAUAUACAAAUAUACAAAAGACUUUUGAUAAACAAAUAAAACUUCAAAACAGUUUGCAAAACCAAAUUUUUUUAAAACAACAUGAUAAACUGAGUAACUUAAAAAAUUAUGAAAGAAAUAAAACUGACAACU